UUAUAUAAUCUUCAUAGAAAUAUUAAAAAAUAUUUAAAGUUGUGCCUGGUGUAACAUCUCCUUGUGACUAGUGUAAAGUAAUUAUGCAUGAAAUAAAAGUUUCCAUAGACCAAAAUUACAACUUUGAUUUUUAAAUAUUUUC